CAGGCCUAACACAUGCAAGUCGGGCGGUAGCAGGAAGUGCUUGCACUUUGCUGACGAGCGGCGGACGGGUGCGUAACACGUAGGAAUCUGCCUGGUAGUGGGGGAUAGCCCGGAGAAAUCCGGAUUAAUACCGCAUACGCCCUAAGGGGGAAAGGAGGGGACUCUUCGGAGCCUUUCGCUAUCAGAUGAGCCUGCGUCGGAUUAGCUGGUUGGUGGGUAAAGGCCUACCAAGGCGACGAUCCGUAGCUGGUCUGAGAGGAUGAUCAGCCACACUGGGACUGAGACACGGCCCAGACUCCUACGGGAGGCAGCAGUGGGGAAUAUUGCACAAUGGGCGAAAGCCUGAUGCAGCCAUGCCGCGUGUGUGAAGAAGGCUCUAGGGUUGUAAAGCACUUUCAGCGAGGAGGAAAGGUUAAAGGUUAAUACCCUUUAGCUGUGACGUUACUCGCAGAAGAAGCACCGGCUAACUCCGUGCCAGCAGCCGCGGUAAUACGGAGGGUGCGAGCGUUAAUCGGAAUUACUGGGCGUAAAGCGUGCGUAGGCGGCCUUUUAAGUUGGAUGUGAAAGCCCCGGGCUCAACCCGGGAACUGCACCCAAAACUGGAAGGCUCGAGUGCGGGAGAGGAGUGUGGAAUUUCCUGUGUAGCGGU
rnacentral:rRNA from 1 species